CUGACGCUGGCGGCAUGCUUCUACACAUGCACAGUCGAACGGCAGCGCGGGGCACCUGGCGGCGAGUGGCGAACGGGUAUUACAUCGGAACGUACCCAGAAGUGGGGGAUAACGUAGCGAAAGUUACGCUAAUACCGCAUACGUUCUACGGAAGAAAGUGGGGGACCUUCGGGCCUCAUGCUUUUGGAGCGGCCGAUGUCUGAUUAGCUAGUUGGUGAGGUAAAGGCUCACCAAGGCGACGAUCAGUAGCUGGUCUGAGAGGACGACCAGCCACACUGGGACUGAGACACGGCCCAGACUCCUACGGGAGGCAGCAGUGGGGAAUUUUGGACAAUGGGCGCAAGCCUGAUCCAGCAAUGCCGCGUGAGUGAAGAAGGCCUUCGGGUUGUAAAGCUCUUUUGUCAGGGAAGAAACGGCUGAGGUUAAUACCUUCGGCUAAUGACGGUACCUGAAGAAUAAGCACCGGCUAACUACGUGCCAGCAGCCGCGGUAAUAGUAG
rnacentral:rRNA from 1 species